rnacentral:lncRNA from 1 species
AUCCUAUCAGGAGUAUCUAGAAUUAAGACACUGAGUGGGAAGAGAGAUACAAAUAUGUCCAUAGAAAUAUGGAAGGUUUUAAGCCAGAAAAUCCUUAAAUGAAGGUCUGUAGCAGUAUCUCUCCAGAUAUUUAAAAAUACAAUGAUCACCAAAAUAUGCUAUAAAUGUUUAAAAUGGACUCCUAUCGAAAGUUCAGAGGUUAAAGAUGAUGUUGUUUAUGGUACUCCUAGAAAUUGAUUCUUCUUUAUUUUUUCUUUUCGUUGAGUUUAAUUGCCACUAGAAUUAUUUUCAAGUUAAGAAGAUAAGAGGAUUGACUUUUUAAACUUCAAAAUGAACUUCCCUGCUGUGACUGACUAUAUUCCCCAGUAUGGAGAAUUAUGAGGAACCUGUUGAACAGAAAAGUCUCUGACCAUAAUCAAGGUCACACAGUCAGAAGGCAUCCCAGCAGACACUCCACACUAGCCAAUGUGGAUUCAGAGACUGCACCCUUGAUUACUGUGUUGUUUGAUGAUACUAGUGAUUUCCACGGGGGGCAGAGAUGAUUUUCCUGGCUCUGGGCCUCAUGGUUUCACACUACCUUUGUAAUUUCUCUUGGAGCCUUUCAUUACAGAACUAAAGUUGCCUCUGCUCAGCUGUAUUCUUCUUUGAGUUACGUUGCCUCACGUGGAUAUAUAAGAUAAAGCAUCCAGCCAAGUGAGGGAAUAAUGCAUACUGACUACUCAGGAAGUAGCACUGCAGAUGCCACACUCUUGAAUCAGCCCAUAUUUUAACUGUAAGUAGCACACUGAAAAUCAGCAGUAAGAGAAUGAAGAAACUGGAGUCAAGACAGGGUCCAGUAGAGAGAGAGAAAAAAAACCCACUGUUUUGGAUUGUUCUUUCACAUCCUAAGCAAUCAUGAAUGUUACAGAACUAGAAUCUGGACUUCUUUUAGCUACAUGCUCAAGAUUAAAAGCAAAUGACAGGGAGAAUGCAAGAAGGGAUUGCUGGGAAGAAGGCCAGAGGAAAUUGGAGUGAGAAAUUCAAAAUGUAUGCAAGAGUUUGUCUAAGGAGAAUCAAAACUACUAUGUUUAGAAAAGGUUGAAAUUUCAUUAUUUUGCAAGAGUUACAUCAACAACUGCAAAAGCUUCAGGAAUUCCAGCCCUUUGGAUUGAAACUCUUGCCUGGAGCAUUAAGAACUUGGGGGAGAAAUCACUACUCACUGCUUUGCUCGCAAUUCUCAUUUGGACUAGCGCUUGCAGAAACUGAGCUGAACUUUCCGCACUGUUAUUGCAUCUGUAAGGUAAUUGCCUAAACUUGUUGAGCCAAUCGGAAUUGCUGUUGUUGACUUUUGCAAAUGUGAAGAAUCCGAUGAAGCAAUUUGUAAGCCAUAUGUGGUACAUCCCUCUUUCCCCACUCAAAGUCAUAUUGCUCUCUAUAGGAUUUUGUGUGAUCCUUAUGAAACAUCACACUCCAGAAUUCUAUUUUAAAAGCUUCAAACAUUAGUGUUUAAAAAGUCAUUCAUAUUUAUGGGA